UUUCCCCAAUUAACAGACUUUGGACCUUGUCAAAUACCAGCUGCUCAUAGUUACAGAAUCUGAAAACUAAGAUAGACCUGUAUGUUCAUGACCCAGCUCAAGAAAUUCUUGUUCUGUGAAGUCUACACUGAGAUUCCCAUCCCUCUUCCUAACCAAGAGUAACAGGA